rnacentral:tRNA from 1 species
ACUAAAGAAGUGAAAUAUCACACCCAAUUUCGACUUGGCUCUUGAAUACAUCCUUUAUU